rnacentral:tRNA from 1 species
GGAGAGGUGCCUGAGCGGUUGAAAGGGACGGUCUUGAAAACCGUUUUCCGAUUAUAUCGGGACGUGGGUUCGAAUCCCACCCUCUCCG